rnacentral:lncRNA from 1 species
ACCAUCUGAGAAACAAGGUAUGAGUAAACAAUCAGAGGAAAAUUGGAAACUGACUACUUAAGAGAAAGGAACAGGGAGAUGAAAGCAAGGACAAACUGUGGCUAGAAAUGAAGAUAAUUUUAAUUCCUCUCUACACCUACGAGACAAAAUUUCCAUGUCACGUACACUUGAUAUUUCAUCAUAGUGAAUGAGAUUAUUGUGCUGUUGUCUUUCUUCCACUUAUGUACUCUAAAAUACUUCUUAAUAUCUAAGUAAAUGAGACUUCUUGAAUGUGUCGG